CUUCGAAGGUGCACUGACACAACUGCUCUAUAAAUCUAAGAGAGUAGCAUCAUGGAGAGAGAAUGAGUUGACUGAUAACAUGGAUAGCAGAUGCUCUCACAGGGUUGUCUUCCUUCUGUUCCUGCUUGCUUGCUCAGCUGCAGUUGAUUCCAGAGUCAUCAUGCACCUUCCAAAUGCUCUUGAAGAUGGAGUUCUUCUUCCCAAAAGGCAGCUCCUGGGUGACAGAGCUUCACAGAAUGUGCCACCAUCUCCCAAAACUCAUGGCAGCUACAAUAACUUUGCUCCUGGACAUGGAUAUUGAUGGAUUCUACUCUUCUCUGGCAUGGAGAUCAUGUAUUCCAUUAUUUUCAGAUCUACUUAUCAUUGAAAAUAAUACAUUGCUCAUCAAUUUCUACUCA